AAGCUAAUUAAGUCAUAAGCCUUAGAAGCACGAGGACUCAUCCCCUCUCUUCUCUCAAAAUCAAUUUUGGGUCAAAAUGUCAAAUUGGGUUUGGAAAAAUUUCUCACGUCUGCUCCCUCUUCCCCAAGACUCAAAAGGAGCUAUGUAUGGAAAGUAUUGGAGAUUUAGAAGGAAAGAUUUUGGCGAUACUUGGAGACGAAAAUGGCUGAGGCUUUUGCUGCUGAGAUCCACAAAGCUUGUUUUCUACAAAUUCAAGGCCUCACAACAAGUUUGUUCGCAAUCUAGCAGUAAAGUGGAGAGUUCCACCCAUCUGACCUUGUUAUUGCUCUCGGUGAUGGCACCAUCUUGACUUCAUGGUGGAUUGCCAAGCCACACACAAGUAUCAUGGCUUCUAAAUAGACAUACUACACUCAGGCACAAUGUUCAACAGUUUUCAGUACAUACAAGGGUUUAUAUAAUAACCUAUUGAAAUACAAUAACAAGAAGUAUAUUUAUAUAGCAUUGCAUGUAUGCAAGUAUAUAAGCUACAUGUUUUCAACCCAAACUCUACUUCUUUUCAUUUUAACAACUCUAGCUUUUGCACCUCUCCCCCAUAGUCCCAUUUGUGUACUCAAGAAAUUCCAAAACAUGCAGCAAAUAAACUCCAAAAUAUUCCCACAUCAAAGCAUGUAUGUAUAGAAAUAAUGGUACUAUUUAAAAAGAUUGGAUUAGUAUGAUCUCAUUUACUAGUUCAAUCUAAAAUAGAUCUAAAUCAAGUUCAAUCAAACAUCAAUUUGAUACUUGUUUUUCAAAAGUUAUAUUUACUUAAGAUGUCAAUUAUGGUAUUCUAUAGUCCUAUAUGCUUAGUUUUGAUAAAAUAUUAAAUAUUGUGGCGAUAGAGUGAACUAGUUUGUAAGAUUCACUUGAAAAAAUAAAGAAACUACAUGUGUUUUUUGCCAUGCUAGAUGAAUACAUUUGUAUAGUCAUUAGUAAAGUGUAUACAUUAUAAUAUAUAUUCGUAGUCUGUGAUAUAAUCUUUCUAGUUUCUAUCUAUAAGUACUCUUUUUUAGCUGAUUUUUUUGCUAUAUGUAUAGGUUAUUCUUAAUGGAUAAGAGUUGGAUAAACAUAUUGAAUAGGAAUGAUCCUCUGUAUGAGAAUGGAGCCAAAAAGUUUCUUCAUUUUGCUUCAUUAGAUAGGCCUAAUGCAUCUGAAAUCUUGUGUCCAUAUCGGAAGUGUCGUAAUAUGAAAUUUAUCUUGAAAGAGUUGAUUGUUGAACAUAUUGUGGUUGAUUGAUUUCUACCUAGUUACGUUAAUUGGAUUUUUCAUGGUGAGGCAUCAUCUUCAUCAAUGUCUGUGGAUAGAUUAGAUAGAGGUGAUGAGAUACAUGGCUUGUUGCAUGAUGCUUUUGGAGUUCCUCCUACUACUGACUUUAUUAAUAUGGACACUCAUGGUGAUAGUUUUGGUGGGUCAAAUCAACAUAAUGUGGGAUUUGAUAAGAAAACUGAAAAGUUUUUUAAUUUAUUGAAAGAAGCUGAGCGUGAAUUAUAUCCCGGAAGCAAAUAUUCACUUCUUUCUUUUCUUGUUCGUCUAUUACAUUUAAAGUGUCUCAAUGGGUGGAGUAACAAUUCAUUUUCCAUGUUGUUAGAGUUGUUAAAAGAUGUGUUUCCUGAAGGUGAAAUAUUACCUAAGUCCUUUAAUGCUGC